rnacentral:rRNA from 1 species
CGUACGGGUGAGUAACACGUGACUAACCUACCCUCGAGUGGGGAAUAACUUCGGGAAACCGAGGCUAAUACCGCAUAAUGUCUACGGACCAAAUGCGUAAGCAGCUUGAGGAGGGGGUCGCGGCUGAUUAGCUUGUUGGCGGGGUAACGGCCCACCAAGGCAAUGAUCAGUAGCCGGCCUGAGAGGGCGCACGGCCACACUGGAACUGAAACACGGUCCAGACUCCUACGGGAGGCAGCAGUGGGGAAUUUUGCGCAAUGGGGGAAACCCUGACGCAGCAACGCCGCGUGGAGGAUGAAGCCCCUUGGGGUGUAAACUCCUUUCGAUCGGGACGAUUAUGACGGUACCGGAUGAAGAAGCACCGGCUAACUCUGUGCCAGCAGCCGCGGUAAUACAGAGGGUGCAAGCGUUGUUCGGAAUUAUUGGGCGUGAAGGGUGCGUANGCGGUGCGGUAAGUCUUCUGUGAAACCUCCGGGCUUAACUCGGAGCCUGCAGGGGAAACUGCCGUGCUG